rnacentral:rRNA from 1 species
AUUGAACGCUGGCGGCAGGCCUAACACAUGCAAGUCGAACGAGUGGCGGACGGGUGAGUAAUGUCUGGGAAACUGCCCGAUGGAGGGGGAUAACUACUGGAAACGGUAGCUAAUACCGCAUACCAUCGGAUGUGCCCAGAUGGGCUUAGCUUGUGGGUGGGGUAACGGCUCACCUAGGCGACGAUCCCUAGCUGGGCUGAGAGGAUGACCAGCCACACUGGAACUGAGACACGGUCCAGACUCCUACGGGAGGCAGCAGUGGGGAAUGUUGCACAAGGGGCGCAAGCCUGAUGCGACCAUGCCGCGUGUAUGAAGAAGGCCUUCGGGUUGUAAAGGACUUUCAGCGAGGAGGCGUUACUCGCAGAAGAAGGACCGGCUAACUCCGUGCCAACAGCCGCGGUAAUUC